rnacentral:rRNA from 1 species
GACGAACGCUGGCGGCGUGCCUAACACAUGCAAGUCGAGCGGGAACCUCAGGAGGGGUAACCCUCCUGAGGGGACAGCGGCGAACGGGUGAGUAACACGUGGGCAACCUGCCCCGGACACCGGGAUAACCCAGGGAAACCUGAGCUAAUACCGGAUACUCCGGCGCGAUCGCCUGGUCGCGCCGGGAAAGCCCCGACGGUCCGGGAUGGGCCCGCGGCCUAUCAGCUUGUUGGUGGGGUAACGGCCCACCAAGGGGACGACGGGUAGCUGGUCGGAGAGGACGGCCAGCCACACUGGGACUGAGACACGGCCCAGACUCCUACGGGAGGCAGCAGUGGGGGAUCUUGCGCUAAUGCGCGAAAGCGUGACGCAGCGACGCCGCGUGGGGGAUGAAGGCCCUCGGGUUGUAAACCCCUUUCGGCAGGGACGAAGCGAAAGUGACGGUACCUGCAGAAGAAGUCCCGGCUAACUACGUGCCAGCCGCCGCCGUAAUAC